rnacentral:rRNA from 1 species
UACGAAGGGGGCUAGCGUUGCUCGGAAUCACUGGGCGUAAAGGGUGCGUAGGCGGGUCUUUAAGUCAGGGGUGAAAUCCUGGAGCUUAACUCCGAAACUGCAUUCGAUACUGCCGUGCUUGAGGACUGGAGAGGAGACUGGAAUUUACGGUGUAGCGGUGAAAUGCGUAGAUAUCGUAAGGAAGACCAGUGGCGAAGGCGGGUCUCUGGACAGUUCCUGACGCUGAGGCACGAAGGCCAGGGGAGCAAACGGG